rnacentral:rRNA from 1 species
AUUGAACGCUGGCGGCAUGCUUUACACAUGCAAGUCGAACGGUAACAGGGUGCUUGCAUCGCUGACGAGUGGCGAACGGGUGAGUAAUGCGUCGGAACGUGCCGAGUAGUGGGGGAUAACGCAUCGAAAGGUGUGCUAAUACCGCAUACGUACUGAGGUAGAAAGUGGGGGACCUUCGGGCCUCACGCUAUUCGAGCGGCCGACGUCUGAUUAGCUAGUGGGUGAGGUAAAGGCUCACCAAGGCGACGAUCAGUAGCGGGUCUGAGAGGAUGAUCCGCCACACGGGGACUGCGACACGGCCCAGACUCCGACGGGAGGCAGCAGUGGGGAAUUUUGGACAAUGGGCGCAAGCCUGAUCCAGCCAUGCCGCGUGUCUGAAGAAGGCCUUCGGGUUGUAAAGGACUUUUGUCCGGGAGCAAAUACCCAGUGCUAAUAACGCUGGGGGCUCAUGACGGUACCGUAAGAAUAAGCACCGGCUAACUACGUGCCAGCCGCCGCCGUAAAAC